rnacentral:rRNA from 1 species
CGAAAGCCUGACGGAGCAACGCCGCGUGAGGGAGGAAGGCUCUUGGGUUGUAAACCUCUUUUCUCAAGGAAGAUAAUGACGGUACUUGAGGAAUCAGCAUCGGCUAACUCCGUGCCAGCAGCCGCGGUAAUACGGAGGACGCAAGCGUUAUCCGGAAUAAUUGGGCGUAAAGCGUUCGUAGGUGGUGAUGUAAGUCUGCUGUUAAAGCGUGUAGCUUAACUACAUAUAGGCGGUGGAAACUACAUGACUAGAGUGCGUUCGGGGCAGAGGGAAUUCCAGGUGUAGCGGUGAAAUGCGUAGAUAUCAGGAAGAACACCGGUGGCGAAGGCGCUCUGCUAGGCCGUAACUGACACUGAGGGACGAAAGCUAGGGGAGCG